rnacentral:rRNA from 1 species
AAGGCAGCUACCUGGCGACAGGAUGCUAAUCCCAAAAACCUCUCUCAGUUCGGAUCGAAGUCUGCAACCCGACUUCGUGAAGCUGGAUUCGCUAGUAAUCGCGCAUCAGCCAUGGCGCGGUGAAUACGUUCCCGGGCCUUGUACACACCGCCCGUCAAGCCAUGAAAGCCGGGGGUACCUGAAGUACGUAACCGCAAGGAGCGUCCUAGGGUAAAACUGGUAAUUGGGGCUAAGUCGUAACAAGGUACC